UCGUGAUCAUCUCCGGAUACGACACGGUGUAACUUGGACGACAUUCUUUUGUAGAAGAUUUUUAAUUUCAUUUUCGAUCAUCCACACAUUUAUGUAGUUUUUGAAGUGUUUGUUUUAUUGAUUUCGAAGAACACGUUUUUUAAAUUUAUAUUUGUAGGUUAAAGGAAGAAGAUUAGAUAGUCCUCGACGAUCGUCUAUUAUUCAUUGUCUUUGUUUCUGUACUUAAUUAUCUUUUUUUCAGAUUACCUCAUCGGUAUCGAUAUGCCCCGACCCAAACGGUUAACUGGAGCUGCAUUAGCCAGUCGAAAUGCAAAGAUUCGUAGACUAUCUUCAAGUACCGAUUCCAAUCAUAGCGUGACCGAUGAUGUCCAACCAAUCGUUGCGGUUGCUUCACAAUCGGGAAAGGAGAGCGUACCUGAGAAGAAGGCGAAGCCGCUUCGUGGCGCCGCACUCAAGAGUAAAUUAAGAAA